GUGCUCACUUUGGCAACACAUAUACUAAAAUAGGAACCAUACAGAGAAGAUUAUUAUGGUUCCUGCACAAGGAACAUAAAGCCUUUGCUUUAAGAAAGACACUAUUGA